rnacentral:rRNA from 1 species
GGGUCAGUAGGUUGGUCGUGCCACCGGUACGUACUGGUCUCACUGAUUCCUCCUUCCUGUAGAAGCGUAAUGCCAUUAAUUUGGUGUUGCGGGGAAACAGGACUGUUACUUUGAAAAAAUUAGAGUGUUUAAAGCAAGCUAACGCUUGAAUACAUUAGCAUGGAAUAAUGAAAUAGGACGAUCGAUCCUAUUUUGUUGGUUUCUAGGAUUGACGUA